GCGGGAGUAGCUCAGUGGUAGAGUAUCACGUUGCCAACGUGAUUGUCGCCGGUUCGAGUCCGGCCUCCCGCU
rnacentral:tRNA from 2 species